rnacentral:lncRNA from 1 species
AAAAAUUAUGCUAAAAUAAGAAUAAGUAAUAGUAUGCUGGCUGUUGAACGUGGUAGAUACAACAAAACAGCUUUAGAAAAUAGAAUAUGUCCUUUAUGCCAUAAAGAGGUUGAAGAUGAAUUUCAUUUUAUCAUAACAUGUUCAGAAAUUAAUAAAACUAGGAUCAAAAUGUUUGAUGAAAUAUCUAGUAUUGUCCCCUGUUGUAAUUCAAUGAGCGAAGAAAACAAAUUUGAAUUUAUAUUUUCC